CCUACGGGUGGCAGCAGUGGGGGAUAUUGCACAAUGGGGGGAACCCUGAUGCAGCGACGCCGCGUGGGUGAAGAAGCGCCUCGGCGCGUAAAGCCCUGUCAGCAGGGAAGAAAAUGACGGUACCUGCAGAAGAAGCCCCGGCUAACUACGUGCCAGCAGCCGCGGUAAUACGUAGGGGGCAAGCGUUAUCCGGAUUUACUGGGUGUAAAGGGGGCGCAGACGGCGAUGCAAGCCAGGAGUGAAAGGCCGGGGCCCAACCCCGGGACUGCUCUUGGAACUGCGUGGCUGGAGUGCAGGAGGGGCAGGCGGAAUGCCUGGUGUAGCGGUGAAAUGCGGAGAUAUCAGGAGGAACACCAGUGGCGAAGGCGGCUUGCUGGACUGUAAAUGACGCUGAGGCUCGAAAGCGUGGGGAGCAAACAGGAUUAGAUACCCCGGUAGUC
rnacentral:rRNA from 1 species